UGCAAGUCGAACGAAGCUUGAUUUCUGAUUUUUUCGGAAUGACGAAUGAUAUGACUGAGUGGCGGACGGGUGAGUAACGCGUGAGCAACCUGCCCUUCGGAACGGGAUAGUGUCUGGAAACGGACAGUAAUACCGUAUAACAUAUAUUGAUCGCAUGGUUGAUAUAUCAAAACUGAGGUGCCGAAGGAUGGGCUCGCGUCUGAUUAGAUAGUUGGUGGGGUAACGGCCUACCAAGUCGACGAUCAGUAGCCGGACUGAGAGGUUGAACGGCCACAUUGGGACUGAGACACGGCCCAGACUCCUACGGGAGGCAGCAGUGGGGAAUAUUGCACAAUGGGGGAAACCCUGAUGCAGCAACGCCGCGUGAAGGAAGACGGUUUUCGGAUUGUAAACUUCUGUUCUUAGUGAAGAAUAAUGACGGUAGCUAAGGAGCAAGCCACGGCUAACUACGUGCCAGCAGCCGCGGUAAUACGUAGGUGGCAAGCGUUGUCCGGAAUUGCUGGGUGUAAAGGGAGCGUAGGCGGGAUGCCAAGUCAGCUGUGAAAACUAUGGGCUUAACUUGUAGACUGCAGUUGAAACUGGUAUUCUUGAGUGAAGUAGAGGUUGGCGGAAUUCCGAGUGUAGCGGUGAAAUGCGUAGAUAUUCGGAGGAACACCGGUGGCGAAGGCGGCCGACUGGGCUUUAACUGACGCUGAGGCUCGAAAGUGUGGGGAGCAAACAGGAUUAGAUACCCUGGUAGUCCACACUGUAAACGAUGAUAACUAGGUGUGGGGGGUCUGACCCCUUCCGUGCCGCAGCUAACGCAAUAAGUUAUCCACCUGGGGAGUACGACCG
rnacentral:rRNA from 1 species